UUGACAGGAACCCCCUCCCUCAGAGGCCUGGUAAAAGGCAGAAGGCUGCAGUGAGGCAGUGUGCGGCAUCUCCUGCAGGCAGAGGACUCUUCCCAAGGCCCUGUCUCCCAACCCUUGUACCAGUGCUGUUCUUCAGACCCUGGUACAGGCCUGGGGGGCAGGGACCUGGGAACUCCAGCAGCAGCAGCUCCAGCUCCCUCCAGCGCCCUGUCCUGGGAACCAGUGGUAGGCAGCGGCUCUCCGGAAGUGGACAUUCAAACACUGUUGACACUCAAGGUGGACAGCCUGCCUCUACCUAGGACACCCCAGCUUCUCUCCAAAAUCACCCUUAAGGGCUCCCCCCACCAGCGGCCCUUCCUGAUCGACACAGAUGCUUGUCUCAGGUUGUGCCAGGUUAGUAGAGGACUGUGCUCACCUGAAACAGGGGGACAGGUGCACAGACAUGUUCUUGUGACGCUUCUCAAAGCGAUUGUACUUUCGGAUGUAAUGAAGAUAGUCCCGGCGGAUGACAAUGGUCCUCUGCAUCUUCAUCUUGGUCACGACACCUUGAGAAAGUGGGGGGAGAAGGUGUUAGCAAGCCAAGGGUAAUUCAUGCUGCAGCAAAACAAGCUGUUGAACGGGGCUCCCAAGAAAUCCCGCUUCUGGCAUCAGUUUUGUCAAUUGGUUGUCUCAGCAGUGCCCUUGGGGCUGUCUGAAGACCAUCGUGAGAAUGGACAUCAUCUGCCGGAGAACCUGGAUUCAGAACCUCGAGCCACACUUCAGUUUCUUACUCACCGGACAGGAUCCGACCUCGGAUGGAGACGUUGCCAGUGAACGGGCAUUUCUUGUCAAUGUAGGUGCCCUCGAUGGCCUGAAAAGACGAGAAAGUGCAGUUUGAACUACCAAACUACAAUUCCCAGGAGCCCCGAAGGCAGCCACUCCGAAAAGAGCGCGGUGGCCCUGCUCCCACAUGCAAGGCCACGAGUCUCAUCUGUGGGAGGGUCCUGUACCUCCUUGGGCGUCUUGAAGCCUAGACCGAUGUUUUUGUAGUACCGAGGGAGUUUUUCCUUGCCGGUUUCUCCAAGCAGAACACGCUUCUUGUUUUGGAAGAUUGUGGGCUGCUUUUGGUAAGCACGUUCGGUCUGUAGGGACAAUCGUUCGGUGAGACCCCGGGUGAGCUUGCCUUUCCACCCUUGGACGCCUUCCACCCCUUAACGCCAGCGCCCACAACCACCCCAUAUCUCUUCUAGCUACCACACCAGGUUCAAACACGUUUCCCGUCUGAAGGCCCUUCCCAAGCACACGCGCUCACGCCCUCAGAAGCCACACCGCACGGACACGCAGCCCGGCAUAGUGGGCCGGACCCGCGGCAACAGUGCCGACCCCAGCGAGCCGGCGCUCACCCCCACUCGGGGAAACCGUGUGAAAGCAGCCUCCCCACGCGCUGCCAUACACGACUAACGCCCAGAGUGCCUGAGACCCCAUGGCUGUGUAAGCCCAGGACGUCGGAGGCGCUCAACAGAUGAAGGCACAGGGUAGGCGCCCUCGCUUCGGCUAAUUCGGAGGAUGACGGGGACGCCAGCCUCGGCGCCAGCCCUCAGCUCAAACCUGAAUGUCCGCCAUCUUCCCGGCAGUCUGAGGAAAAGAGAGGUGGGCUGACUCCCGGGUUUCCUUCUUCACUACGCGAGGUCUGCAGCGGAAGUGACGUAUGGCCAGCCCUGCACGGAUUUAGGAGGCAUUUCCGGUGCAGAGCAUGCGAUUCUGGAACUGUCCGUACGCCGCCAUGGUAGUGGAGGACUAUGGGACCGGAAGCGGAGCUUAUCAUCUCGCGAGAUCUCAGGCGGCAGGCUGGGAAGCGACUUCCUGCGGUUCCGCGAAAGUAGCCGGGCGGGGUCAGGUUUCUUCGGGAACGGGAGUCACGUGUAAUUUAGAACCGCGUGGUGGUCUUCAGAUUCCUGGCGAGAGGCGGCGGUGGCCAUGUUUCACCCGGGCUGACAUUACUAGCCUUUUUUCCUUUAUUAAAGUAUACAUCCACGUGUACCGGCGGCACGGUCUCUUUGUAGACCGCUCUUGACACCAUCGUGGUCCUCCCACAAACCACCAAGACCGGAGCUAUAGGUGCCAUAGGUUUGUUUGUUGGGUGUAUAUUCCAACCCCAUUCCCUCCUGGGUUUACGACCUGAUUACCUUUGGAGAGACCACACCCCUCGGAAACGGAGGGACCCCAGUAAUUAAACCACAACUCAGGAGGCAGAAAAAGCUUUGUGCCAAAUGGAGUUAGAAGAAUUUUCCCGGCUAUAUUCAGGACAGUAAAUAGAAUAGCGUUUUGCGUGUUGGGAUUCCUUUAAUGCCAGCACUCACAGUUAAGUUUCAGAUCAGCUAGGGCCACACAGUGAGAUUGCCUAGCGAAUCAAGCGACCUCCUGAUACACUAGUCAUUAUUCACCUAGGGGAAGCAUAGAGAGGAAGGAAUUUUAGUUGUUGUCUUUCUGGGAUGUUACAAUUUCGCGAAAGAUUUAAUAUGUAAAGAAUUUGAUUUUUUUUUCUUAAAUCACCAAGAAAACAGACCCAAUGUGUGACAAGCCAUAAGCAAAUUUUUUUAAGAGAUUUAUUUAGAUCUCAUUUCACAUGGUUAUGAGCCACCAUGUGGUUGCUGGUAAUUGAACUCAGGACCUCUGGAAGAGCAGUUAGUGCUCUUAACCGCUGAGCCAUCUCACCAGCCCCAGCAAAAUUGUUUUAAGCCGUGUUCAUGGUCAACUGUAUACCACCUAAUACCUCGAAAGCUGAGGGACAGAGGUCAAUCCUACCCCAAACCAACAAACAUGAUCACUGAAACUGGCACGAUGUUGUGACAGGAUUCCUCCUCUACCCUGCAUUUGCUUAACCAGUCCAGGCUGGCCCGCUCAACCAACCUAAAACUCCAAGCAUACGUGGUCUUUCUGUGGCAGUAUGUCUAAGCAAACCUGUAGUUGAGGAUGUAGCCCACGGAAUCACUAUCAACAAUUCUACAUUAAAGCCCCCUCAGUUUGGUGGUGGGCCUCACCUUUGAUCCCAGCACUUGAGAGACAGAAGAACCUCCAGCUUUGGAACCAUUUUGGUCUACAGAAUGGGUACCAGGACAGAAAAAGCAACAGAGAAACAAACCCUCCCUCCAAAACGCAAAACCUCAUGAGGCAAGUUCCUGGUCAUUAUGGUGCACAGGGAUGACACUUAGGACAGCUGCCUGCACUACAGGAUACCUCUGCUAAUGACAUUCUUUCUGUAUAGCCCUGGCUCUCCUGGAACUCUACAGACCAAGGCUGGCAACCAAACACUAGAGGAUUAAAGGUGUGCACCUCCAAUGUCUUAUCUGGUGUAGGCUGGUGGGAAUUUAUAUGAGAUUCCGGCUUGAGGGCCAGGAGGUUAGAUCUCCUGGAGCUAGAUGGUUGUGAGCCAAAAGGCAGGCUGUCCCUUAAACCCUUCAUGCCUUUAUGUCUGAGGAACGAUGUAAAAUUGUUUAGUUUGACCUCUCUUCCCUGGUUGGCACUGUUCCAGCUCCCCAUUUUCAGUACCCUUAACUAGCUUCCCCAGCCUUAAUUCAUUUGGGGCAUUGAGUUCCUGAAGCCCAUGUGCUAGUGACAUCCCGUACUUUGCAGCUGAAUUAGAGUUAAGUAAAACCAUUUCAGGCAGGAUCCACGGGAAGAUUUGUGCCUGCACCUUUUGAGCAACAAAGCACCUUCGUGCCUUCAACAAAAUAGCAUACCACAGCCUAUAAAUUCCAAAUUUUUGGUCCCCAUUGUUCCUUCCUAUAUAGCAUACAUAGUGCAAAGAUACCAGUUUUCUUUAACAGUCAAAUAAUUUAUUAUUAGCAACAGAACGCUGUUGAAGAAAGUAAAAUUGCUUUCUGAGCAGUAUUGGGAAGGAGCAAAGGCAGUGGCUUCCCAGUGUGUACUUCUGAAUCCCAGCCCAGAUGUUAGGUCUCCAUCCUCAUCCUCACAGCUGCAGAAUACAUAUGGCCUUGGGUUUGAUGGGCAGAGCAGCCCAGUCAGUCAUUAAAACUAAAGUCAAAGUAAUAACUCUCAGAG